UGGGGAUUAUCUAAGCUUACUGUACCAGGAAGAAUGUUCGAUAACUUUAGAGAUCGUUUGCAGACGGUACAGCAUGAUCUGAGCCAAGGCUGGAAAUCGAUCGCAGAUAAGGCCAAGGCCGUUAACAAGAAAAUAGUUCGAAAGACGACUUUUAUAACGGAUGAAAUCAUCGAAAGUGGUGACCAGUGUUUCAGUUGUGAUCUUGAGGCAGGCUCUGAAAUCCUAAACAAGUAAGUACUCAAGUACUUGUCCAGCCAUUUGAUGCUAUCAAUCAAAAUGAAUUGUAAAUACAGUCUAGCACAGUUAACCAUUAAAAAUACAGUCAGGUAGUCAGACUGUGAAGAAAAAUGCAUAUUAAAUAGUUGCAUAUGCAGAAGACUAGAUGGCAAGUCUGCACACGAGCCAAGUGACCCAUCAGGUCAGAGCUUAUACCAGUUUCUGUUGCAUGAAGUGACUAAGAGUACUUCUACUCCCUCCUGGAUGGGAUGUUAGUACAUGGCAGGGUUACACCCAGCAUUACACUGUAUGUUUGCUGGUACCCAUAUAUACACUGGGGUGGAGAGAGGCACUGUGAGAAUAAGUGUCUCACACAAUGAAUGCAACGCAAUGUCCCUGGCCAGGACUGCACAAUCCAGAGACGAGUGCACCAAUCAUGAGGCCACCGCACUUCCCCUUAAGUUUAUUAAGUUGCCAUGCAAGUUAAUUGCUUAUACCCAAGACAAGAGUGGUUGAAAUGAUCUGGUCCUGGACAUGUCACCAAUUCAUAUAUCUAGAGUACAACUGUAAGGGCCUGUUCACAUGGAGGUAGGGGACCCUGGGAAGGUGAGGUACCCUGCCUACAUGUUGUAUCCAUAGUCAAAAAAGCUACAGUGCAGCCUUCACCUGCAAUCCCAGGGUCCUGGGAUGAGGUGUAAAAUGCUAUUGUGUGGCACUAAGCAGUAUACAAACAAAGAUGGUGGAUGGAGGACACUUUGUGGCAGUGAAUUCAGUAAAUGCAAUUUUCCUUUCAUUGGCAUGUUGAGCUUAUCAAAUUCUGCCAUAAUUUUGUACAAAUGGCUUGCUUUGAUUAUCAUAAAAUAUUUUAUGUUUAGUUUUACUGAUCAUUAGUGAUGAAGUUCCCUUGUACAAUGGUUGCAAUACAUGUACAUUUUAUUAUCAAUUCCAUCAAUUUUCU